rnacentral:rRNA from 1 species
UGGGGAAUAUUGCACAAUGGGGGAAACCCUGAUGCAGCAACGCCGCGUGAGUGAUGACGGCCUCCGGGUUGUAAAGCUCUGUCUUCAGGGACGAUAAUGACGGUACCUGAGGAGGAAGCCACGGCUAACUACGUGCCAGCAGCCGCGGUAAUACGUAGGUGGCAAGCGUUGUCCGGAUUUACUGGGCGUAAAGGGAGCGUAGGCGGACUUUUAAGUGAGAUGUGAAAUACCCGGGCUCAACCUGGGUGCUGCAUUUCAAACUGGAAGUCUAGAGUGCAGGAGAGGAGAGUGGAAUUCCUAGUGUAGCGGUGAAAUGCGUAGAGAUUAGGAAGAACACCAGUGGCGAAGGCGACUCUCUGGACUGUAACUGACGCUGAGGCUCGAAAGCGUGGGGAGCAAACA